AACUUCUUCUCAACCCAUCCAGUUUCUCUGUGUGUGGGCUUUGGACAAUGGGGGCUUGCUGGUUGCUAUUUUUCCAGCUCUCCUGAAAAGCAUUAGCGGCAUCUGGGCUGCUUGCAGGUGUGAUAACUCGUCUACACCUUUGCAGUGGCUGCAUUUGUGCUGCUUUAGAGGGCAUUGAUGGA
rnacentral:misc_RNA from 1 species